GGAUUGAUCAUUAACACAUGAUACAACCUUUUUCUCUCCCUCUCGAGGGAGAGAACUUGACACAAUGGAAAAUGUUAAAGUCCUUUAACAUUUGUAAAAAUGUUGAAGUGCCUUUACCAUCUUUUUUCCUCAAUAAUAAAAAAAAAAUCCACAAAAGUUACUACAAUGCAAUGUGAUUAUAUCAUAAACAAAAAACAAAAAAGCACAACUUUUAGCGACGGAUCUCUUGGCUCAUGCAACGAUGAAGAACACAGCGAAAUGUGAUAAGUAAUGUGAAUUGCAGAUGUCUGUGAAUCAUCAAGUCUUUGAACGCAAGUUGCGCCGCCAAAAGCGGCAUACUUGUUGGAGUGAUGGUUAAAAACAAACAAAAAAAGCUUCCUUUGCACACGUGUGCAAAGGGUGUUUGAGUGUCUAGAUGCUACAUUGCUAGUCUCUCAAAAAUUGCAUGGACAAAACCCUGAAUUCUUAACAAAAAAAGUAGAUGAUGCUGGCGUGUAUGAUUGCACAAUAACGUCAUCGAAGGAAAAAAUGUAAAGACCAAGGUUUUUUGUUCCAAUGGAACUCAAAUAGAAGGGGCGGUCUCUGCUUCCUCUUUUUACAUCAUCAUCCUCCAAUCAAGUAAGACUACUCCCUGAACUUAAGCAUAUUAAUAAGGGAAGGAAAAGAAACUAACUAGGAUUCCCUCAGUAAUGGCGAAUGAAGUGGGAAGAGCUCAGGUUUAAAAUCUGGCGGCCGCCGCCGUCCGAAUUGUAGUCUUUUGGCUGGUCAUAGGGGUGGGCACCGGCACAAGUCCGUUGGAAUGCGGCGCCUUAGAGGGUGAGAGCCCCGUAGUCGGUCGGCUGACUUGCUCCGUAAAUUGGCUAGUCGUAGAGUCGGGUUGUUUGGGAAUGCAGCCUUAACUGCGAGGUAAAUUCCUUGCAAAGCUAAAUACAGGCAUGAGACCGAUAGCGAACAAGUAGAGUGAUCGAAAGAUGAAAAGAACUUUGAAAAGAGGGUCAAAAGUACGUGAAAUCGCUAAAAGGGAAGCGAUUGGGUUCAGUGCGAGCGCGUGUCCGAAUCGGGCCUCGUGAGGGCAUAAUGGGCGGCGGAAAAGGCGGGCUGGUCAACACCGGUUCGACCGUUGAACAUGAAGCCUCCGUCGGGGUCUUACUUUUGGCACGCGUUGGUCAGCAUCGGUUCGCUCGAGUCGGCGGAAGAAGAGCUGGGGAAUGGAAGGUCGCCUGCGGGUGGCUGAAUACCCUGGUCGAUCAUCCGCCUGGUGGACUGAGGUGUCCGGUAAAAGCCGGACAGCAAAGUGGGUGCCUCUUAGGCAGGGCUCUGACGUUUGCAGGGGUCGGCGGGGUGUAGCACUAGUGCAGUACUGCGCUUCGCUGGCUCCUCCACGGAUGUCAUCCGCUUACCUCCUCUUGAUGCUGACAAAAUGGGCUCAAUCGUCCCGUCUUGAAACACGGACCAAGGAGUUCAGCAUAUGUGCGAGUAUUUGGGUGCGAAAAACCCACGUGCGCAAUGAAAGUGAAGGCUGGUUCGGCCAGCUCAGGUGGGAGGACGGCGUGACGAACGCCGUCUGCACCAUCGACCGGUCUGGAGAUACUUCGAAAGAUCUGAGUAAGAGCACAUCUGCUGGGACCCGAAAGAUGGUGAACUAUGCCUGCAUAGGGUGAAGCCAGAGGAAACUCUGGUGGAGGCUCGUAGCGAUACUGACGUGCAAAUCGUUCGUCAAAUGUGGGUAUAGGGGCGAAAGACUAAUCGAACCUUCUAGUAGCUGGUUCCCUC
rnacentral:misc_RNA from 1 species